UAAACGACUCUCGGCAACGGAUAUCUUGGCUCUCGCAUCGAUGAAGAACGUAGCGAAAUGCGAUACUUGGUGUGAAUUGCAGAAUCCCGUGAACCAUCGAGUUUUUGAACGCAAGUUGCGCCCAAAGCCAUUAGGCCGAGGGCACGCCUGCCUGGGCGUCUCAC
rnacentral:rRNA from 1 species